UUCCCUCCCGUGUCGGGGUUAGAGACACGGACCCUCCCUGUUGGAUCUGGCCGGGCCUCGUGCCCGGCCUUUUUU
rnacentral:ncRNA from 1 species